AUUGAACGCUGGCGGAAUGCUUUACACAUGCAAGUCGAACGGCAGCACGGGGGCAACCCUGGUGGCGAGUGGCGAACGGGUGAGUAAUACAUCGGAACGUGCCCAGUCGUGGGGGAUAACGUAGCGAAAGUUACGCUAAUACCGCAUACGAUCUAUGGAUGAAAGCGGGGGACCGUAAGGCCUCGCGCGAUUGGAGCGGCCGAUGUCAGAUUAGGUAGUUGGUGGGGUAAAGGCUCACCAAGCCGACGAUCUGUAGCUGGUCUGAGAGGACGACCAGCCACACUGGGACUGAGACACGGCCCAGACUCCUACGGGAGGCAGCAGUGGGGAAUUUUGGACAAUGGGCGCAAGCCUGAUCCAGCCAUUCCGCGUGCAGGAUGAAGGCCUUCGGGUUGUAAACUGCUUUUGUACGGAACGAAAAGGCUCUGGUUAAUACCUGGGGCUCAUGACGGUACCGUAAGAAUAAGCACCGGCUAACUACGUGCCAGCAGCCGCCGUAAAAC
rnacentral:rRNA from 1 species